AACGAACGCUGGCGGCAUGCUUAACACAUGCAAGUCGAACGAGACCUUCGGGUCUAGUGGCGCACGGGUGCGUAACGCGUGGGAAUCUGCCCUUAGGUACGGAAUAACUCAGAGAAAUUUGUGCUAAUACCGUAUGAUGUCGAAAGACCAAAGAUUUAUCGCCUAAGGAUGAGCCCGCGUAAGAUUAGCUUGUUGGUGAGGUAAAAGCUCACCAAGGCGACGAUAUUUAGCUGGUCUGAGAGGAUGAUCAGCCACACUUGGACUGAGACACGGCCCAGACUCCUACGGGAGGCAGCAGUGGGGAAUAUUGGACAAUGGGCGAAAGCCUGAUGCAGCAAUGCCGCGUGAGUGAUGAAGGCCUUAGUGUUGUAAAGCUCUUUUACCAGGGAUGAUAAUGACAGUACCUGGAGAAUAAGCUCCGGCUAACUCCGUGCCAGCCGCCGCCGAA
rnacentral:rRNA from 1 species